UACGUAGGCAGCAAGCGUUGUUCGGAAUUACUGGGCGUAAAGAGUGUGUAGGCGGUGCUGUAAGUCUGGUGUGAAAUCUCCCGGCUCAACUGGGAGGGUGCGCCGGAAACUGGAGUGCUUGAGCGUGGGAGAGGAAAGCGGAAUUCCUGGUGUAGCGGUGAAAUGCGUAGAUAUCAGGAGGAACACCUGUGGUGUAGACGGCUUUCUGGACCAUAGCUGACGCUGAGACACGAAAGCGUGGGUAGCAAACAGG
rnacentral:rRNA from 1 species